rnacentral:rRNA from 1 species
AGGUAACAGUGAAGUGAGGACCGAAGUGACUUACGAUGAAGAGGGAACGGUUGGACUGAGAGUACCAGAGGAAUUCCAAUGGAACUUGGAGCUAGCUGGUUCACUCCUGAAUCGCUUAAGGGCUAGCCUCAAGUGAACGUUAUUGGAGGUAGAGAACUAUUAAGACGACGGGCCCCUCUCGGGUUACAGAAUUCAUACAAACUCCGAAUGCCUAAUAAUUUAACUUGGGAGUCAAAAUGUGGGUGAUAAAGUCCAUAUUCGAAAUGGAAACAGCCCAGACCACCAUCUAAGGUCCCAAAA